GAUGAACGCUAGCUACAGGCUUAACACAUGCAAGUCGUGGGGCAGCGGAUACUUAGCUUGCUAAGUAUGCCGGCGACCGGCGCACGGGUGAGUAACGCGUACCGAACCUGCCCAUCACACAGGGAUAGGCUUGCGAAAGCAAGAUUAAUACCUGAUGGUCUCAGUUGUAUGCAUGUAUAAUUGAGUAAAGCCUUCGGGCGGUGAUGGAUGGCGGUGCGUCCCAUUAGGAAGUUGGCGGGGUAACGGCCCACCAAUCCUUCGAUGGGUAGGGGUUCUGAGAGGAAGGUCCCCCACAUUGGAACUGAGAUACGGUCCAAACUCCUACGGGAGGCAGCAGUGAGGAAUAUUGGUCAAUGGGCGAGAGCCUGAACCAGCCAAGUAGCGUGCGGGAUGAAGGCCCUUGUGGUCGUAAACCGCUUUUAUCAGUGAAUAAAGUGCACCACGUGUGGUGUCAUUGCAGGUAGCUGAAGAAAAAGGACCGGCUAAUUCCGUGCCAGCAGCCGCGGUAAUACGGAAGGUCCGGGCGUUAUCCGGAAUUAUUGGGUUUAAAGGGAGCGCAGGCGGGAGUGUAAGUCAGCUGUUAAAUAUCAGGGCCCAACUCUGUUAUGCAGUUGAAACUAUAUUUCUUGAGUACGCACAGGGAUGGCGGAAUUCAGGGUGUAGCGGUGAAAUGCUUAGAUAUCCUGAAGAACUCCGAUCGCGAAGGCAGCCAUCCGGAGCGUAACUGACGCUGAGGCUCGAAGGUGCGGGUAUCGAACAGG
rnacentral:rRNA from 1 species